ACUUAUCGUGAGUGUUGUCAUGUUUGUAUUUAAUUGCAAUCUCCAGGAAUUUCAAAGCAGCUGGAUAAAGUGUGCAAGUUGAAGGGUUGUGAGAAAAUACGUAAAUGGUUGCAUAGUAUAAAAAACCACAUCUAUUGGACUGCUGUAUCAUCAAGCAGUGGACCUGAAAGAGUGGCUAAAUGGACGUCUAUGCUAAACCAUAUGCAAAAUAAGCACACACAUGAAGACAGCAAUUUUCCAGCAUGUCUACAUGGAACAAGCAGAAGUCGAGACACAAAAAAGUGUCUAGCUGCUGGAACACUGCCAUAUUUCAAGUUGGAGAACAAGAGAAUUUUGAAGGAUGUUGCCAAGCUAAGUCCACACUACCAGACUUCUAUCAAGGUUUUCCACAGUGUAAUACUACGGUUUACACCAAAAAAUGCGUUUUUUCCAUUUCUGGGAAUGUUGUGCAGACUAUACCUGGCUGCACUACACUACAUUACAUGCCGGGCGUCCUCAAGCCACAACAGCAGCUAGUCGACCGGUGUUCAAAGGGACCUUUCCAAAGGCCAAGAAGGGAGAAUACCGGGUCAGAGAAGUGAAGACACAAGCAAACUUCAGUAUGUAUAAAAUG